rnacentral:rRNA from 1 species
AGUGAACGCUGGCGGUAGGCCUAACACAUGCAAGUCGAACGGCAGCACAGUAAGAGCUUGCUCUUACGGGUGGCGAGUGGCGGACGGGUGAGGAAUACAUCGGAAUCUACUUUUUCGAGGGUGAUAACGUAGGGAAACUUACGCUAAUACCGCAUACGACCUACGGGUGAAAGCAGGGGAUCUUCGGACCUUGCGCGAUUGAAUGAGCCGAUGUCGGAUUAGCUAGUUGGCGGGGUAAAGGCCCACCAAGGCGACGAUCCGUAGCUGGUCUGAGAGGAUGAUCAGCCACACUGGAACUGAGACACGGUCCAGACUCCUACGGGAGGCAGCAGUGGGGAAUAUUGGACAAUGGGCGAAAGCCUGAUCCAGCCAUGCCGCGUGGGUGAAGAAGGCCUUCGGGUUGUAAAGCACUUUUGUUGGGAAAGAAAAGCAGCAGGUUAAUACCCCGCUGUUCUGACGGUACCCAAAGAAUAAGCACCGGCUAACUUCGUG